AUUGAACGCUGGCGGCAGGCCUAACACAUGCAAGUCGAGCGGAUGAAGGGAGCUUGCUCCUGGAUUCAGCGGCGGACGGGUGAGUAAUGCCUAGGAAUCUGCCUGGUAGUGGGGGAUAACGUCCGGAAACGGGCGCUAAUACCGCAUACGUCCUGAGGGAGAAAGUGGGGGAUCUUCGGACCUCACGCUAUCAGAUGAGCCUAGGUCGGAUUAGCUAGUUGGUGGGGUAAAGGCCUACCAAGGCGACGAUCCGUAACUGGUCUGAGAGGAUGAUCAGUCACACUGGAACUGAGACACGGUCCAGACUCCUACGGGAGGCAGCAGUGGGGAAUAUUGGACAAUGGGCGAAAGCCUGAUCCAGCCAUGCCGCGUGUGUGAAGAAGGUCUGCGGAUUGUAAAGCACUUUAAGUUGGGAGGAAGGGCAGUAAGUUAAGACCUUGCUGUUUUGACGUGACCAACAGAAUAAGCACCGGCUAACUUCGU
rnacentral:rRNA from 1 species